rnacentral:rRNA from 1 species
AGCGAACGCUGGCGGCGUGCCUAACACAUGCAAGUCGAACGUGAAAGGGAGCAAUCCCACGUCAAGUGGCGUACGGGUGAGUAACACGUAGGUAAUCUACCCCAGAAUCUGGAAUAACCGGCCGAAAGGCUGGCUAAUACUGGAUAGAGCGACGGAAUCCGUAAUUGGGUUUUUCGGGGAAGGGAGCCUGUAAAAAGGCCUUCGUUCUGGGAUGAGCCUGCGUCCCAUCAGCUAGUUGGUGAGGUAAAAGCUUACCAAGGCAAUGACGGGUAGGUGGGCUGAGAGGACGAUCAGCCACACUUGGACUGAAACACGGUCCAGACUCCUACGGGGGGCAGCAGGGGGGAAUCUUGCGCAAUGGAGGAAAGUCUGACGCAACAACGCCGCGGGAGGGAAGGAGGCCUUCGGGUUGUUAAGCUCGGUCGAGUGGGAAGAAAAUGCUUGGAGUUAACAGCUCCAGGAACUGACGGUACCACUAAAGGAAGCACCGGCUAACUCCGUG